UAUCUCUGAAUCUGCGAACGGCUCCGCACAACGAGAGUAACCUGCCGCUUGAUGCAUCACCACCUUCACGGGUGGUGGGGGCAACACGGAUACCCCCGGAAAAGCUGGGGCUAAUACGCGUUCAAUCUUGGUCACAUGUCGGUUUCACACAUUCGUGUGUGAACAUUGUGGCUGGGAAGCGUGCGAGCAUAUUUUGCUUCGUUUAUAAGGAAUCAGCGCACGUCAGUACACGGUCAUUCAGAGCAUCAUCUCCCUAGUUGAUGUUCGACCUGUGCUCGCGCUGGGCUCUUGUUCCUAUCAUACUCGCCUGCAGCGUAAUGGACAUGCAGGGGUAAUGACGGGUACAGAGGAUUAGAGUUCGAUCCUGGAGAGUGGGCCUGAGAGAUU
rnacentral:rRNA from 1 species